rnacentral:rRNA from 1 species
ACUGGGACUGAGACACGGCCCAGACUCCUACGGGAGGCAGCAGUGGGGAAUUUUCCGCAAUGGGCGCAAGCCUGACGGAGCAAUACCGCGUGAGGGAGGAGGGCCUUUGGGUUGUAAACCUCUUUUCUUAAGGAAGAAGAUCUGACGGUACUUAAGGAAUCAGCAUCGGCUAACUCCGUGCCAGCAGCCGCGGUAAUACGGAGGAUGCAAGCGUUAUCCGGAAUUAUUGGGCGUAAAGCGUCCGCAGGCGGCAUUAUAAGUCUGCUGUCAAAGACCGCAGCUCAACUGCGGAAAGGCAGUGGAUACUGUAAAGCUAGAGUACGGUAGGGGUAGAGGGAAUUCCCAGUGUAGCGGUGAAAUGCGUAGAUAUUGGGAAGAACACCAGUGGCGAAAGCGCUCUACUGGGCCGUAACUGACGCUCAGGGACGAAAGCUAGGGGAGCGAAAGGGAUUAGAUACCCCUGUAGUCCUAGCUGUAAACGAUGGAUACUAGGCGUAGCUUGUAUCGACCCGAGCUGUGCCGAAGCUAACGCGUUAAGUAUCCCGCCUGGGGAGUACGCACGCAAGUGUGAAACUCAAAGGAAUUGACGGGGGCCCGCACAAGCGGUGGAGUAUGUGGUUUAAUUCG